rnacentral:tRNA from 1 species
GCGCUGUUAGGCUAGUGGUAAACCGGGGUCUGGUUCUUGAUUUCCAAUCAAAUGACCCAGUCGGGGGUUCAAAUCCCCCACAGUGCA